rnacentral:lncRNA from 1 species
UUUUCUUGACAUAUUUUACAAAUAAUUAAUUUUAAUUUUUAGUUUUGUUUCAUCACAUAAGAUGUCAGAUAUUUCUUUAUCAAAUUCUGCUAUGCCCAGGUUCAGUGCAUCCUCCAUGACAAAAUUACCUCAACAAGCCAAAAAUGCAGUUCUUAUAAGAAGAAGCACUUCUUUGUUUUUCUUUUAAAUUUUGCCCAAGUGCUUAAACUUUCAAUGAUUGUUAUUUUUUAUCUCAAAUGUAGGAUCAUUUCCAAGAAAGAAAACCACAAAAUCUGUCACCAGAGAUUGAGAAGCUAUGCUUUACUUGCUCUGAAAAAAACCCAAAUUCUUCAAAUUAUAAAAAAGUGGAUUUUUAAAAUUAGAAACAGUGAAUGUAAAAAGGAAGUUGAUUUCAGUAUGUAUCAUCCUGAUGAUGAAACUGAUGAAAUGAAGUCUUUAUUGGGAAUAUUUGAUGGUAUUUUCUAAAACAAACAAACUUUUAUAUUAAUAAGAGAAAGAAUAAAGACACCUAGUCACAAAGCAUGCUUUUCAUUUUUAAAAAGUAGUUCAUAAUUGUUCAGAGUUUUUUCUCCUGAAUUUGAUUAGCUUUGUUCACCUUUUGCAACAAAAUAUAUGGACCGAUUUAUUUUCCCAUUAUAUUGUAACUUCUUGAAAAGCUCUUUUACAGUGGCUUUGUUUCAGUAAUCCCUUAAGUUAAGGCUUAUUGCACUUAGAAAUAAGUCGCACUUAGAAAUAAUUAUUUGGUUAUUAAUUGGAUUUUGACAAGAACCAAUGUAAAAUUUUAUUUUUAUGUUUUCUUAAGAAGAAAAAUAUUCUAUGAAAGCAAAAUAAUGCUAACUUAAUGAAUCUGCUUAUUGUAUGGAUUAAUCACUAAUAUUAUUCCCAUGUAUUUUGUUUUACUAAGAUUUUUAAGAAUCCAAUGACUCUUUGAACCUACUGUUAUCUAACUUUGAGCAACAAUAAAUGAAACAUUAAUCAGUA